rnacentral:lncRNA from 1 species
CUUUUCUCUGUAUAAAAAUUACGAAAUCACAUUACGAAAUUUGUUUGUUCUAAUUAUCUGAUUAAAUAAAGUCUGAAUUAGGUGUUGAUUGGUUCUCCCACUCUCAGCUGCCUAGCGGUUGGUAGCGGGCGAUUGCAAUUGUGAGCGAUUAGUACCAUUCACACAAAACGCUCCAAAACGCUUCUAAUCGCUCAAAAUUGCUGGAUUUCAAAAGCUCCUUCCCGCAAGCGUUUGCGAUUGCGGGCGUUUGCAGUUGGUUAAAAAAAAA